rnacentral:rRNA from 1 species
UAGAUACCCUAUUAUUCUGAUAAGAAAUUUAAGAUGCUUGAGUAGUAAAUAGGUAUGAACUAGAAACUUAAAGAAUUUGGCGGUAUUUUAGUCUUUUUAGAGGAGGUUGCCCUGUAAACGAUAUAACGCGCAGGAUCUUUCUUCUUUUUGUAGUUACAGCCUGUAUACCGUCAUUAUAAAUAUUUUAUAAAAAUAAAUAUUGGGAUAUAUUGGUAAUUUAAUAUAUUAGAUCAAGGUGCAGCGCAUGGGGGAGUAUGAGGUGAGCUACAAUAAGAUUUGACUUAAAUGGAUUUAAAACUUGAAAACUUUUUUGAAGGUGGAUUUAAAAGUAAUUGUAUUUUUAAUAAGGUAUAAUGAAUUUUGAGCUCUGAAAUAUGUACACAUCGCCC